GCAAUUUGGCCAACGACACAUGGGACGUAUUUUUCUUUCUUUAAUUUUUAAAGAGUGCGAUAAAAUAUUAAAAAUCAUCAAUAAAAACUAGAAGAAAUACUUCACAACGAUAUUUUACUAUUUUGGCAGAUAUUUCCAAUCGCGGCUGGACGCCCAAAAAUGGGUGAGGAAGAAAACGGGUUGGAUAUGUCUCACCUGGCAACGUCCUUCAUCGACGUCGGCGUAAUAACCACCGGUGGGCUGAUCGUUGCAGUUGAACUUGGUCUCGGGAA